CAGCCGCCGCGGGAAUACGAAGGGGGCUAGCGUUGUUCGGAAUUACUGGGCGUAAAGCGCAUGUAGGCGGAUAUUUAAGUCAGGGGUGAAAUCCCGCAGCUCAACUGCGGAACUGCCUUUGAUACUGGGUAUCUUGAGUAUGGAAGAGGUUAGUGGAAUUGCGAGUGUAGAGGUGAAAUUCGUAGAUAUUCGCAGGAACACCAGUGGCGAAGGCGGCUAACUGGUCCAUAACUGACGCUGAGGUGCGAAAGCGUGGGGAGCAAACAGGAUUAGAUACCCGAGUAGUCCCUGUCUCUUAUAA
rnacentral:rRNA from 1 species